GCCGGGCGUGGUGGCUCAUGUCUGUAAUCCCAGCACUUUGGGAGGCUGAGGCAGGUGGAUCACCUGAGGUCAGGAGUUCAAGACCAGCCUGGCCAACAUGGUGAAACCCUGCCUCUA
ensembl:misc_RNA Metazoa_SRP Metazoan signal recognition particle RNA